rnacentral:rRNA from 1 species
CCUACGGGCGGCAGCAGUGAGGAAUAUUGGUCAAUGGACGAGAGUCUGAUCCAGCCAAGUAGCGUGAAGGAUGACUGCCCUAUGGGUUGUAAACUUCUUUUAUAUGGGAAUAAAAUGUUCAACGUGAGGAAGUUUGUAUGUACCAUAUGAAUAAGGAUGGGCUAACCCCGGGCCAGCAGCCGCGGUAAUCCGGAGGAUCCGGGCGUUAUCCGGAUUUAUGGGGUUUAAAGGGAGCGUAGGUGGAUUGUGAAGUCAGUUGUGAAAGUUUGCGGCUCAACCGUAAAAUUGCAGUUGAAACUGGCAGUCUUGAGUACAGUAGAGGUGAGCGGAAUUCGUGGUGUAGCGGUGAAAUGCUUAGAUAUCACGAAGAACUCCGAUUGCGAAGGCAGCUCACUGGACUGCAACUGACACUGAGGCUCGAAAGUGUGGGUAUCAAACAGGAUUAGAUACCCUGGUAGUC